rnacentral:rRNA from 1 species
GACGAACGCUGGCGGCGUGCUUAACACAUGCAAGUCGAACGGUGAAGCGCCUUCCUUUUUGGUGGGUGUGGAUGAGUGGCGAACGGGUGAGUAACACGUGAGUAACCUGCCCCCUUCUUCUGGAUAACCGCAUGAAAGUGUGGCUAAUACGGGAUAUUCUGGGUCUGUCGCAUGAUGGGUCUGGGAAAGAUGUUGUUUCGGUGGGGGAUGGGCUCGCGGCCUAUCAGCUUGUUGGUGGGGUGAUGGCCUACCAAGGCGGUGACGGGUAGCCGGCCUGAGAGGGUGGCCGGUCACACUGGGACUGAGACACGGGCCAGACUCCUACGGGAGGCAGCAGUGGGGAAUAGUGCACAAUGGGCGCAAGCCUGAUGCAGCGACGCCGCGUGAGGGAUGGAGGCCUUCGGGUUGUGAACCUCUUUCGCCAGUGAAGCAGGCCUGCCUCGUUUGUGGGUGGGUUGACGGUAGCUGGAUAAGAAGCGCCGGCUAACUACGUG